UCCAUUUUUAGUCGUUCCUUUUAGUUUUGUUAGGGUUUGUGUCCUGCCCGGGAUGGUGAGACGGUGGCGGCUCCCUGAAGAUGGAAUGAAUGCCUCCCCUCCUAGCCCCCAUUCUGGCGGUGCGUCUAGCACCGUUGGUGGGCAUGUGAAGGUAUGUCUCCGGCGGAUCUAUCUUUAGUGGAUUUGCUCAUAUCUCGUCGUUGUUCGUCUACAUUCCUGUGUCUUCGGGUUGAAUCCUUCUAAUCUACAUUAUUCCUCAUCGGCGGCAGUUGCUGUUCUGGUGCGCUGGUCCUAUGGGGCCUUAGCAUGAAGACUUUUCGACUGUCUACUACAACAAGUUGUGUCCGACUCCGGCGAUGGAGGGACGAUGACGGCGGCGCGCCUUCGCCUCGCUCCAGUGCUUGUAGUCGUCGCUAAGUGGUCUACGGAUCUGGAUAUAAUUUUUAUUAUUUUUUAUGUUCGUUGUACUGCCAUGAUUGAAGGUGAAUAGAUGAAAAUUUUCCCGCAAAAAUAUAUUGGAACACAGUAUAUAUGUGUAUUAUAUACUGGAAAUAUUGCAUGGGAACAAUAUUAAUUGGAA
rnacentral:lncRNA from 1 species